rnacentral:lncRNA from 13 species
AGAGAAAACAGAAUGUACUGCAGUCCCAUCAUUCAGCAUAUUUCUCAGUAAAAUAUGAUUCACUAUGAGUGCAUAAGUGCAGGGACUUGCUUUCAUCUGUGUGUCAUGAAGGUGACGCAGAAGUGAAGUAUUCAAUCAAAGGGAAGGAUGUCUUUUCGGUUACGGAAGUUCAGUCUGGCAGCUUGCACAGAAAAAGGCCAUGUGAGGACAGAGUAAGAAGACAGCCAUCUACAAGUCAGGAAGAGAGGCCUCACCAGAAACCUAAUCAGCUACCAUCUAGAUCUUGGACUUCCCAGUCUCCAGAACCAUGAGAAAAUAA